rnacentral:rRNA from 1 species
UACGUAGGGCGCAAGCGUUGUCCGGAAUUAUUGGGCGUAAAGAGCUCGUAGGCGGUUUGUCGCGUCUGCUGUGAAAACCUAAGGCUCAACCUUGGGCUUGCAGUGGGUACGGGCAGACUAGAGUGCGGUAGGGGUGACUGGAAUUCCUGGUGUAGCGGUGAAAUGCGUAGAUAUCGAGAGGAACACCUGCGGCGAAGGCGGGUAGCUGGGCCGACACUGACGCUGAGGCGCGAAAGCCAGGGGAGCGAACGGG